rnacentral:misc_RNA from 1 species
UACGAAGGGUGCAAGCGUUGUCCGGAGUUAUUGGGCGUAAAGGGUCCGCAGGCUCACAAGAAAGUCAUACUUCAAAGACCGAGGCUCAACCUCGGAGCGGGGUAUGAUACUACUUGUGUUGGAUAAUGUAGGGGCUACUGGAACUUUGUGUGUAGGAGUGAAAUCCGUUGAUAUACAAAGGAACACCGAGGGCGAAGGCAGGUAGCUGGACAUUUAUCGACGCUGAGGGACGAAAGCUAGGGGAGCGAAACGG